GACCAAAAGGGUAUAAACCUUUGCAAAAUAAUUCAAAAGCUUCAUCAAUAGGAAGUGCUUUUUGCUGAUCUUCACCACUAUUUUCAAGCAAAAAGUGCCGGAGAGAAAUGAACUGAUCCAAAGGGUUUCUGCAUAUAUAAAUUAUGCGACAUUUGGCAUUCAAAAUCGAUUGAGGUAGGGCAUGGUAGGGUAGAUGUGUUGAGAAAAUUCUUGGACAUGAGAAGGCCUCAAGAUCAGGAUUUUCGCUAUUCAGAAAUAAACCAUACUCCAUGGAUCUUACAAGAUCAUGAGGAUUGGUGAUGAGGAGAGGGCUCUCUGGUAUUGUGCACUUCUUGCGGUUGAUGAUGCUAAAGCUUAGUGAUUUUAGCCAAGUGGUGCCUGAUUUAGGGAUGGAAGCUAAGAUAAUGUCGGAAUCCUUAGCUUUGAAGUUUCUUUGAAAGAAAAUUGUGGAUUUAAGCACUCUUUCUGGACACCAAAAAUUGUUGUAGUAGCAUAGCCACCGGCCAUCCCAGUUUACCUUUUUAGGAAUUGUUUGU
rnacentral:lncRNA from 1 species